ensembl:snRNA LOC120099431 U6 spliceosomal RNA
UUGCUUUGGCAGCACAUACACUAAAAUUGGAAUGAUUACCCAGAUUAGCAUGGCCCUUAUUGCAAGCAUGACAUGCAAAUUCAUGAAUCGUUUCGUAUUUCU